UUGUUGUCCUUUCCCAGGCGCCAGGCGGGUGGAAACUGGGGAGGCAUAGGUUACCCAGAGAUAAAGUCUUUUUAUGAGCUUCCUGAUUUAGCUGAGAGAGGAACUCGGCCAACUGGCAUGGCUGAUGGACAAUCCCCUCUACCUGGUUCCUCCUGGGGGAGUGAAGUUCUUCCCAGUUCAAAAGGAGCGGGGGCGCUGAGACCCUCUGGGGGGGCUUGUGUUGGGACUCCGGGCCCUGAGGCCCAACCCAUCGGGACAUCGGCAGGUCUCUGCUCUGUUGCUGAUGGUAAAUAUCUUAAGAAAAACCAGCUUCGACCGCAGCUGUCUUCAGGGAUAUGUGUACAUUCAAGAUAAGCUCCAACACAGUGGAUCAUGCAGAAAUUCUUUGCACCCCAGCCCUCCUUGAGCCCACCAAGGUUCAGGAGGCAAGACUUCGAUUGUGGCCAAGUUUUGCAAAAACUUUGCAUGAAUUCUUCCGGUGAAGCGGUAUCCAUGAGUGAAAAGCUUGUUGCUCUGUUCAUUUUGCAGUGAUAAAUAACGCCAGGCAAAGAAUAAAGCCAGGAAUGAGGCCGAGAAGGUCGGGAGUAAUUGACGGGGACGGCAGGGGUGAGAGCAAUUCAGGCUGCGGUGUCAGACACGGAGUGACACUUUUGUCCUGGCCCAGGAGGGAGGUAGACAGAUGAGAUCGGGCUGACUCUGAGUCUGUUGGGGGUUUCAGGAAGCUGUCUGGUUCCUCUGGAAAAACCUUCUACCAGUGAAA